rnacentral:lncRNA from 1 species
CGCCUCCCGAAUUGAGAAGCUCCAGGAGGGGCUCUGCCUCCUCGAGGAGACCGAAAUCCUCCAUGGCUUCUCCAACCAUAUCCAGAUAGCAGCAUCCAUGGCUUCUCCGGCCAUUUCCAGACCGCCAUCGCCGCCACUCCUAUGUCCUCCGUCCUCUCCGGCUCCGCUGCCUUCCCAAUCGAGAAGCUCCAGGAGGGGCUCCGCCUCCUCGAGGAGGCCGAAAUCCUCUGGUAAAUAGCCAACGAUGUCUUCGUAGUUGAGAUCCAUUCUAACGAUGGUGCUAAUUGACGAAUUGUAGUGAUAAUUGGUCCUAUUUCUGCCAACACCCGCGUAAUGUUGCAGAAUCUCUAGGCGAAAAUUGGGGAGAGCAAAUGGAGAAAUUAAGAUUCUAGCUUUGAAAUAUGGGUGGUCGUGGUGGUGGUUCUUUGAGGAAAGGUGGGUGGGGGAGAGAGGGAAGGGUACUGAUUUAUGCCUAAUUGUUCUAAUUUUGGGGGUUUACAUGCGCAUAUUUUAAGUUAAUUCUUCUGGAAAUUGGUGCGUUUUAUGGUUUGUUUUAUGCUUUUCAGGAGAUUUAGGUCUUAUAGAUGGAAGAGUGCGAUUUUGGAGAUGUUGGGGGGUAAGAAUGGUGUUUUUAGGCACACGUUGUUAUGCAGAGCUGAACUUCUCUAUGAAGGCCCGUGCCAGAGUAGAGAAGCCCGCUUCAAAGCAGAGGAGUGCACUCCAGAAGUCGCCAGCGAAAUCCGCUGAAGCCAGAGAAAUGAGAAAGCCAGAGCGGAGAGCCAGAGCAGCGAAAUGAGAAAAACGCCAGAGGAAUCGAGGCGAGCGCGGAAAUGUCAGAGGAAUCGAGGCGAGCGCGGAAAUGCCAGAGAAAUCACUUCGCUGCUGGAAUCGUAAGUGCAGAGGAAUCAAACGCCAGAGAAAUCACCAUUUCUCUGGAGUCAGAGAAAUCAUCAUUCCUCUGGCGAAAGCCAGAACGGAAGCCAUUCCGCUGGCGAGAGCCGCGAUUUCCGCUGGGGUGGAGAUGACUUGUAGAGCGCAUCACAGCUGGACUUGCCUUCUUUUGCACGAUUCUAUUCCUUUUAGAGUCCGGUUUUGCAUGGCAACUUUCAUGGUGAUCCAUAGGGAUUCGAAGUCUAUAAAUAGGGCCAUACUUUUCAUUGUAACAAUAAUCCUUGCCCUAAUCUUUAGUUCCACCAAGUUAGCUAAAGCUUAGGAUUUAUUGCUUUCAUAGUUCUAGUUUCGAUUUCUGUUCUAGUUAGUUUAGUAUAGUUCUUUAAAUUCAAGUUUAGUUAGUUUAGCUUAGUUUUGUUUCGAAGAUUGGAAUUGAGUGACAGCAGUUUCAUCUUUGCGACGUUUUACGGUAUUUCGGUAUUUAAUUGAAUUUACUUGCUUUCAUGUUUAUGCUUUCCUUUAGAUUUUGCUUUUACUUAUGCUUUCUUUAAAUUCUGCAAAUUUACUUAUGCAUUUUAUGAUGCUUUCUUUAAAUUAUGCAAUUUAGUUUCUGCCUAGUUAGAUUAGAUUAGAAGUAUUUUUAAUUAAAGUUUAUUUAAAAUUCUAAAUUUUGCCUUAGUUAAUUCCCCUUUACUUUAAGUUCUAUUUAAUUCUUGCCUAGGGUUUAAUAGUUUCACGCCUAGAUAAUUUUACGAUUAAGUUUUUAGUUAUGUUUAAUUCAUAAGCGUUAGUUAAUAAUUCCUUUUUGCCUAGUUAAGUUUAAAUUCAUGUUAAUUUACUUUUCAUGUUUUAGUUUAAAAAUCUUAAAUUUACAGCUUUCUUGUGANACUCUGCCCGUGUCCUUGCAUGUGACCCUGGGGUUGCCUACUCGAAUACCCUUGUGCAGCAAAGACUUCUACCCCUCUUUCAUAAGUACGCUCGCCCACUCCUACUGGCACUCGUUGGCUCCAUGGCCAAUUUCGCCACAUAUGCCCAACCUCCUGCUGGUGGUGGCGUGAGCGGUGGAGCCUCCACCUGGUUCAUCCUGAGGUGCUGAACUUGCCUCAUCAAAUCCGCUACUUGCUUCUGAAGCUCAUUGUUUGGAGCUACUGCAUUAGCUUCAACCCUCCUUCCUCUUACCGACUUUUGUUGGGAACUCGCGGAAAGUGUGUUGAAGAUCUCCUUAAGUUCAUCAGCUGUCUUCCGGGCAAUGUUGCCUCCUGCCGUGCUAUCCACCAUAAAUUGAGAAGUCUGCAGCAACCCGUCAUAAAAGAGUUGCAUCAACAUCACUGGGGUUAACUGAUGAUGCGGGCACUGGCGGAGGAGCUCCUGGAAUCUCUCCCAAGCCUCAUGAAGUGGCUCGUCGGCUCCUUGAACAAAGUUCAUGAUUUGAGUUCUAAUCUCUUGUGUCUUGUGAUUUGGGUAGAACUUCAACAUAAACUUCUCACAGGCCUCUCCCCAAGUAGUGAUAGAACUAGGCGGUAAGGAGAGAAGCCAAGUCCUUGCCCGAUCCUUAAGUGCAUACUGGAAACAUUUAAGCUUCAGCUGAUCUUCUGUGAUCUCCAACAGUGGAAAAAUUUGCACUUGGGUGCAGAAGUCCCGGAUAAACUGCAGGGCAUCUUCAUUCGGCAGCCCAUAAAAGAGGGGGAGCAGACUUGAAUCAUUGGGCUUCAGGUUGUAAUUCCUGACUGCAGUGGGGAGCACAAUAGCUGAGUUCGUGGCCUCGAUGACAGGCCGGGUAAAAUCCCCCAUGUACUGCAAAUUUCUUCCUGCCAUCUUCUCAACUCCAACGCUAGACAAAAUAGACUCGGUACUCUCUCCUAGGCUUCAAGCACCUCGCGUGCACGGUGAGUGUUUUCAAGUAGAAUGUCAAAUUCCUGUUAAGACUUUAACUCCCUAGCAACACAACACUCAACAAAACAGAUCAAACUCACCAGUGGGAGAAAGAAAAUAACCGAGCAAAAAUAAAAAUAAAAUAAACAUGGAAAACAAAGUAGCACAACCAAACUCCUAAAGCCUUCCCCGGCAACGGCGCCAAAAUUUGACUCAACCCAAAACACCUAAGGGAUUGACUCGCAAUCGUACGAGGUCGUCCUAGUGUAAUAAGCUAACCCAAGUCGUCUCUCAAGGAAGGCUAAACAGGGCUCUGAUCAUGCUACGCAUAGAAAACAGGAAAUAAACCUAAACACUCUAAUCAGAAGGUUGGGUCUGACACUCUCUCUCUCCGAUUAACUAAUAGCGUAAUUAAAAUAAAGCAUAUAAAUCUAUCUAGGCGAAAGAUAGGAAGCAGGCAAAGAAAGCAAUAAGACAACGUAAAGAACUAGGGUUCUAAUCUAACAAUCUAGAAAGCAAUGAUUAAAUCCAAAAUCAUAAAGCAAUAAUUAUCUAGGCAAGGGAAAUAAACAAGCAUGAAAAUCUAUGGCAAACACUAAUCAUGAUUUAUCGUAAGGAACAUGUAAACAAAAAGCAACAUAAUUUCAACGGAGUAUUACUCUAACAAAUCAACCAACAAUCUAACUAUACUAUCUAGGCAAUAAGAUUAACAAAGCAUAAAUCGAUGCUAAAUAUCAUUAUCAAAAGGUAUUCAAUUAUCUAGGAAAAGAGCAACCAAGAAAUCUUGUAAAAUUCGAUAAAUCAAUAGAUAGAACUUACAAUUGAUGAAAGGAAACAACGAUCUAGCAUAAUCCGAGAGUUUCUAAUGUGUUUCUCCCUAUCAAAACACUAGGAAAAUACAGUAAAAUGGAGUUGGAGGCUGUAUUGGUCGAGAGUGGGCUCCAAAAACCUAAAAAAUGGGUUUUAAACCCUCAAAAACGUAACUGCAGACCGCCCAGGGACGGAGGCCGCCGUGGGACGGCGGCCGCCGUAGACGGCGCCCGCCGUGCCACGGCGCCGCCGUGUAUACCUUUCGCAGACUGCAAUGCGCAGUGUUUUUGUUUUGGUCCGUUCUCCCUCGUUUCAAGUCGGAUUUUAGAUCCGUUUUCGCCUACGAACUCGUAUCGAGACGAACUUCGAUUCUUCUUCAGACCAUUCUACUAAAUUCUGACUUUAAUUUUGUUCACAUAUCAAUCAAUGUGAGCACAAAAUCCUGAGACAACAAAAUUAGCACAAAAGCUCAAAUCAUUCAACUCUUAAGUGAAAGAGACCAAAAUAAAAGUCAAUAUAACACGUAAACACCCAGAGAUUCAUCACAAAAUAGGGCUAAACACCUGUCCCUGCGUAGAGCAUAAAUUAUAAUCAAAGCAAUGGUGGAUGGAGAGGUCAGCACCAAGGGAAUUUUCAGCGUAAUCAAUUCUAGAGUGCACAGCAAAUUCCAACGCAAAAACAAUCUCUGGAGGAUACGUUGCAAGCGUUUAUGGAGGUUAGCAAGCAGAGCAUGGAGUCUCAGGCUGCCACUAUUAAACGCCUAGAGACCACCGUAGGGCAACUGGCGGGCGCGCUGGACUAGCUACAGCAGCAGCAGAGCCAAACUCAUCAAGCGCUAGCUCUGGCGAGGAUGCCAGAGCAGACUAGGCUGCCAGCUCUGGCUUGGCAGCCAGAGCAGAGAAGAGAGCCAGCUCUGGCUUGGCAGUCAGAGCAGAGGAAAAGGACGCCAGAGCAGAGGAGAAUGCCAAAGUUGAUUAGGCCAGAGCAGAAACUUCAUAAAUCCAAUACGCCAUAUCAACCACUGAAGCCUAGCCCACCUCUGCCACCAUCAAGUUUUGAUCCAACCCAACCUUUACCGAAGCAAGAAGAUCCAGGGAGUUUCAUUAUUGGUAUUGGUUUGGGUCGAGCUGGAGAAUUCGCGGGUAUGCUAGACUUGGGUGCGGCAGUCAAUUUGAUGCCGUAUGCUAUUUUUCAGAAAUUGGGCAGGAAUGAAGAGGAGAUUAAAAGCACGAAGACAAGACUUCAACUAGCUGAUGGGGCAAAUUGUAGCACUCGUGGUAUUUUAAAAGAUGUUGAAGUCAUGGUGAGAGGAAUCACGGUGCUAGCCGAUUUCGUGGUGCUCGAGGCAGGGCAUGGCAUUAUAGGAAAGAAUGGGCAACUUGUUCUACUUGGUCGGCCUUUUAUGGCUACUACUCAGACUCGCGUUGAUGUGGGUUCGGGAACGUUGAGCAUGGCCGGGUCUGGUAGAUCGGUAACAUUCUCUGUUUUUCAUAAGGAGCCUGUUAUUUCUAACUCUUCUAUGCAUAUCUGUUCUCUCGUUGAAAUCACUGACCAUGAGGAAGAAGUAGAAAUUUUUAGAGCUAACUGUCUUCUGCCAGCUCUGCCGAGUACUCCAGCGCUGCCCGUUCAGCCAGCUUUGACGAUUCCAGCUCUGACGCUGAAUGCCAGAGCAGAAAGUCUUCCUCCAGCUCUGAAGUUGGACGCCAGAAUAGAAAUUCCUACUCCAGCCAUGUCUAUUCCGCCAGCGUUGACUACUCCAGCCAUGCCUAUUCCGCCAGCGCUGACUAUUCCAGCUCUGCCGCUGGAGGACAGAGCAGAAAUUCUUCGAACAGCUCAGAACAGCAUGCGCCAGAAUUCUGCUAAGGAGAAGCUGAUGUGCACCCGCCCGGAAGAGGACAAAAUUAUACAAAAUUUUCUUGAUAAUUUGCAGGAUGAGGAGGCCAUUGAAGAUCAAUUUUUGGCCAAGCUUCCACUCGACGUUGAUGUCGUUCAUGAGGUACCAACUACCGUGAAAGAGGAUGCAACCGUUGAGGAAGAACGGGCUGAUGUGCUGCCGUGCAAGGAUAAUGUCGUGCUAAGAGAGCAGAGUGUACCACCUUUGGAAGAGAAGAAAGAGGAGUGAUCUCGACAUAAUUCUUGGUUCGAGAGAAUGAUGAAUAUGAUGAGCUCUGCUUGCUCACUAAGAGGACCCGCAGCUGAACUGGAGGAUGAUGUGCUUUCACAAGGACUAAGUCAGCUGACGUUUCAUAGCGAUUUUGGUUAAGGGAUCCUCUACGUCGGGCUGGCGACUCUAACUGUAGCGCUUGGUGGGAGGCAACCCACCGUUGGUUUGUUUAUGUUUUUUUUGUUUUAUUUUUCUUGUUCUUUUCUUGUUUUUCGUUUUUGUUGUGUCUUUCCUAAGUUUUGGUUGCUUGCGCGGAUACUUUGAUGUGGUGUUCAUGUUUUGACUUCAACGCUGCAGUUCUAACUCUGUCGACAGCGCAGCCGCGCCAGCGAGUCUCUGCACUUUUCCGCGCUGCACCUUUCCACCGCUGCACUUUUCCGUGCUGCACCUUUCCACCGCUGUACUUUUCCGCGCUGCACUUCUCCGCGCUGCUCUGCCAGCGCUAAUCUGAUUCAGCGUGGCCACUCUUCACUCUGCCACAGACCGCGAAUUCCCCUCUUCAUCACCUCGCACGAUGCUUCAGUUUUACCAUGCCGAUAAUCAGGGACGUUUUCUCAACUCUUCUUAUUUCUUUUUGUGCCCUGAGGACAUGGCAUGCUUUAAGUGUGGGGGGUGUUUUAUUGUGCUUAUGCUUUCAAUUGGGUGAGAUUAAUCUUUCUAUGCUUAGUUUUUAGUCUCGAAUCUUGCGAGUUUUUAUGAAUUUGUGGAAGAGUAGACGGUUUUCGAUGCGAAUUUCGGGUUUGUGAAUGAAUGGUGGUUAUUCUUGUUUUACUGUUGAUAUGUGUUUCUUGAUUGUGCAAAGAAUUUGAGUUUUGUUGCAACACGAUUGUAAGAAAGUGAAACGUGAUUUGUCCGGUAGAUGCUAGAAGGAGUGUUGUCAUUGUGAUUGCCUACGAUCGUAUCUUAUUUGUGAAAAUGUUGGACGAGUUGCCAACUUCAAAAUUGCCAGCUCUGAAACAUCUGGCCUGUUCUGAAAUGUGAUAGCUCUGAGUCUCUGCUCCUCUAGUCUAACUAUGAGCAUGGGAAACCACGUGAAAAGACUUUGGUGUACAUCCAAAUUUUUUUAUUUCAUGAAUUAUGGCUCAACUGUCGAAAAUCUUAAGCACACAAAGUGUGAAAAAUGGUGAUAUUGAUUAUAAAGGCGAUCACAUUAGGGAAUUCACUUCUAGCGGAGAAUUGGGUCUGAUCGAAUUGCCUACAUUACUAUUUUGUUGCUUCUUAAACUUUGAGUUACUUGCAUGAUCGAGAGAUGUGUAUUGAUUGUAAAAUUUUGAAUUGACUUUGAGAAUGUUGGAUGGAAAUUAGCAUUGUUGAAAUCAAUCUCUUCCUAGUAUUCAUAUGGAUUUUGCUUGAGGACAAGCAAAAGGCUAAGUGUGGGGAGGUUGAUUUAUGCCUAAUUGUUCUAACUUUGGGGGUUUACAUGCGCAUAUUUUAAGUUAAAUCUUCUGGAAAUUGGUGCGUUUUAUGGUUUGUUUUAUGCUUUUCAGGAGAUUUAGGUCUUGUAGAUGGAAGAGUGCGAUUUUGGAGAUGUUGGGGGUAAGAAUGGUGUUUUUAGGCACACUUUGUUAUGCAGAGCUGAACUUCUCUAUGAAGGCCCGUGCCAGAGUAGAGAAGCCCGCUUCAGAGCAGAGGAGUGCGCUACAGAAGUCGCCAGCGAAAUCCGCUGAAGCCAGAGAAAUGAGAAAGCCAGAGCAGCGAAAUGAGAAAAACGCCAGAGGAAUCGAGGCGAGCGCGGAAAUGCCAGAGAAAUCACUUCGCUGCUGGAAUCAUAAGUGCAGAGGAAUCAAACGCCAGAGAAAUCACCAUUUCUCUGGAGUCAGAGAAAUCAUCAUUCCUCUGGCGAAAGCCAGAACGGAAGCCAUUCCGCUGGCGAGAGCCUGUUCGCUAAUUUAUUUAACACGCCGCAAGUGUACGGGUGCAAUUGUGUACAGUAGCAAGCAAGGUCGUAUUCCACAGAGACUGAAUUUACCAAUUCCUAUCCUAAAUUAUUCUACUCUAUCUGGAUAACCGGAAUUUAGAGUUUUGGUUUUGAAAACAAAAUAAAUAAAUAACAGAAAAGAAAAUAAAUCAAGCUAUGAAAAUACGGAGAAAAAGAUAAGAGAAGAUUUCCCAAGGUAAAGGUUUCAACAGAUUCUCCUAACUAACAUGUUCAAUUCAAUUAAUAAGACGAUUCCUAAGGCAAUCUCUAAGCUAGUCCAUACCCACUCCCGUGGCAUACAAACCGUUGAUUACAUGCAAGGCUACCGUCCCCGGAUCGCACUUCUAACAUGCAACUCCUAAAAGCUCAUAGGAUUAACGCCCUCACAAAUAUCAAUUCCCUUUAGAAUUAAAAUAAAUGUGUUCUAUGUUCUUAGUUCAGGUAAUAAUUAUCAUCUCCCGAACUCAAAUUAAAACCUAGAUUAUGCUAAAUUGGUGGCCAAUCAAUAAAGCAAACAAUUAUAACAAGAACAUAAAAAGGAAUAACAAUCUCAAUUAAUUGAAUCAAACAGUCAGAAAUUCAAAUCAUGUCUAGUCUCUAAACCCUGGGAAAAAAAGGAUUCUAGCCACACAUAGACAUAUGAACUAGAAUACAAUUCUCAAUAAAAUAAAUAAACAUCCACAAGAAAAACCGUAGUAGAAUUGAGAAUCUUCAGUUCUUGCUCUCGCUCUGUUCUCCGUCUCUCUCAACUCUCAGGAAAAGUAAAAUAUGAUAAAAGAAGAUAAAAGGUUCGCAGAGAAUAAGUUCUUGGGGAGUAUUUAUAUGCCCUAGGUCUUGUAGCUCUCAAAAAUACCCAAAAUCACUAAAAAAAAUGAAUUUUGGGCGGAAAUACGGCGACUCGCGCGGCCACGUCGCGCGGCCGCAUGGCUGGCCCGCGUGACGAAACAGAACUCCUGACAGCUUUGCGCAGCGAUUUUAUUUUGGCUCGUUCUCCCUCGUCCGAACUCCGAUUUAUGAUCCGUUUGCUCUCACAAACUCCUAUCGAGACGAACUACAGCUUGGAUUUCAGCCGAUUCUUCCAAAUUCUGCUUCAUUAUUUCUGAAAAUUCGUUCAAACACAAGCAAGUAACAAGUUCUUGACCAUAAACGAAUAUAAGCUCAAAUAGACCAUCAAACACACAAAAUCCUCACAACUAAGCAUCAAAAAUGACACACCAAGAGGUAAAAAUGCAUGUUUAUCAACCCCCCAGACUUGAACUAUUGUCCGUCCUCGGACAAAACAAAGAUGAACCAAGAAUGAAUCAACAAGAGCGCAGAGAAAAGUAGAUAACAUUGUGGCUUCAGAUUUAUCAACAAAAAUACCAACAUGUAUUUGUAUCUCCUAUCAUCAAGAUAUCACACUCAUGACAAACUUCAAAUUAUGGUCUCAAUGACUUGCAAUCCUCACCAAAAAGAUAAAGAAUAUAAGAACUCUCAACUCUCAAGUGUAUCAAUUAACAUGGACGUGUAUACGCUCAGUUCAAGCAGAACAAGUACUCAACCAUAAGCUUGUCAAUCGUCUCACCUCUCCACCACUCAAUGUGUGCUCCUAUAACCAAGAUCAAAAAGGUCUUUAUUGAGGGUUGUAAUGUAGGUUCUUUGGCAAGGUAGGAUAUAUUUGGCUAAGUGACUAAAAGAUACAACUUAAUGUAGCAUAAUCACCAAUCUUAUAGCAUUCUUACUCAAUUCUAUCCUCCACCUUCCACAAAACCAAAUUUUUCAAUACAAAAUCCAUCACAACACAACAAUUAUUUCUCAUGAUAUUAUGACUUUCUAAUGCAUCCUAUGUACCCAUUUUUUUCUAAUUUUUUUUUCUUUUUUUUUCUUUUCUCCAUUCCUUUUCUUUUUUUUUUUUUUUCAAACAACUUGUAGGGUACUAGGAUUUUCAAUUUAAAACCACAAAACAUAACUCAUGAUCAUUCAUCUCCACAACCCAAUUAUCUCCUAUCAAAUAAUCUCCAAGCUCCCACCCAUAGCUAAAUCAAAGAAUAUGGAAAAAUAAGGCUCAAAGGGGGUGAACUAGGAUCAUAUAAAGAUAUAGGACAAAUAUGGGAUAAAUAGGCUAGCAAAGAUGGCCUUCUAUCAUCUCAAAGUUAUUAAGCACACUAUGUGACCUCGAGGGAGAAACCAAGACAAGUUCUAGUGAGAAACAUGCAUGCUCGAACAAUCACUCAAGAAUAAGAAAUAAGACUGUAAAAUGGUGACAGUCAAGGCUCAAAUCUCACAGCUUAUUUCAUUGAUUGCAAACACAUAGAGACCAUGCUUAUCAUUCAUCAAUCAUGCUCAAUCUCAACAAUAUCAACACAAACGCAUGCACUUUCACAAGUUUUAACCAAAAAUCAUCAUAAGCCAGUUAUCCAACCAAUCUCUACACUACUUGCAUCAUCAUCAAGCUAACAUCACAAAGAAACCACCAAAGCAAGACUAAGAAAACUCAACGACAAAACAAACAAGAACAACCAAAGCAAACAGUGCACCCACAAAGACACAUCCCCCCAAACUUAUUCACCACCAAGGAGAAUAAGUUUGAAAAGGAUUUGUGGGGCACGAAAACAAACAAACAAACAAACAAGAAAAGGAACAAACUAACCAAAAAUUGGGUUGCCUCCCAAUAAGCGCUAUUUUUAACGUCGUUAGCUCGACGAUCCAGCAGGUGUAGGUGGUGGCCACUUUUCAUCAAAUUUGAGUACAUCAUCUGUUGCGAACCAAUGAUAAGGUGGUUUUCCAACCUUCAAAAUUUCUUGAAAACUAUGGCCAUCCUGUGAACAAUCAAAAGUACUACCACACUCCAAAAAGUGUUCAUCAGAUGAAUCAAAAUUAAAAUCAAAAGAUGGAGUUAGAUAAAAGCUAAAGAGACAAGCCUUCAAUGAUUUCCCUUGGUCGAUGCAAGUGUCGACUACAUUUUGGACAUUGCGCUCUUCAACACUUUUAAAAUUUUCAUCCUUCAAGCUCAUCUCAACUUUCUGAACUUCUUGCUCUUCUUCCAUCGCUUGAGGCUCUUCAGUAUCACUUUCGAGCUCAAUGGUCAUACACUGCUCUUUUGGAUUCACCACGGUAUUGCUUGGGAAUUGGCCCGACUGAUCUAGAUUGCUAAUAGCAGUGACUAUUUGAGCCAUCUGAGUCUCAAACACCUUCAUCUGAGUCCCUAAAGCAGCAGUGGUAGACUCAAGCUUCUCCAUCCUCUCAUCUGACUUGGAGAUAAAUUUCAUCAGCAGCUCUUCCAAAUUAGGCUUCUUCUCCUCAUUGAUGACUCCAUUGGUGACAGAGAAGCCUGGUGGAGCCUGAAGCGCGUUAUUCGGAUUCCCAUAAGCCAAAUUGGGAUGUGGACGCCCUCCAUGAUAAAACUGCUGUCCACUAUUGUAUCCACCAUGUUGCCCAUGCUGAAAGUUCCCAUAGUUUCUGCCAUUGAUGUAGUUGGCGUCUUCUACACCUGUUGGGAUCUCUACAGCCGGCUCAGGAUUUCCAACAGUCAUAGCAUUGAUCUUCGAGUUCAUCUCUACCAGUUGAGUCAAAAUCAACGCCAUAGGGUCCGAACUGGAUGUAGCAGCAACUUUCUUCAAGUGAACUCUCUCGGAUGGCCAUUGAUAGCUCGUCGUCCCCAUGCUAUCAAAAAUCUCCAUAGCUGCUCAUGCACUACCUGGGAAAACUCCAGAACCAAAAAAUAAGAACCAAAAGAAAAAUAGAGAAAAAUAAAAUAAAAAAAUCCAGAUUAGUCUCAAACAAUCUACAGAUAGUACUGAUAAAAAUCAGUCCCCGGCAACGGCGCCAAAAACUUGUUCGCUAUUUUAUUUAACACGCCGCAAGUGUACGGGUGCAAUUGUGUACAGUAGCAAGCAAGGUCGUAUUCCACAGAGACUGAAUUUACCAAUUCCUAUCCUAAAUUAUUCUACUCUAUCUGGACAAACGAAAUUAAGAGUUUUUGUUUUUAAACUAAAUAAAUAAACAGCAGGAAAGAAAACAAAUCAAGCUGCGAAAUAGAGAAACAGAUAAGACAAGAUUUCCCAAGGCAAAGGUUUCAACAGAUUCUCCUAACUAACAUGUUCAAUUCAAUUAAUAAGACGAUUCCUAAGGCAAUCUCAAAACUAGUCCAUACCCACUCCCGUGGCAUACAAACCGUUGAUUACAUGCAAGGCUACCGUCCCCGGAUCGCACUUCUAACAUGCAACUCCUAAAAGCUCAUAGGAUUAACGCCCUCACAAAUAUCAAUUCCCUUUAGAAUUAAAUAUAUGUGUUCUAUGUUCUUAGUUCAGGUAAUAAUUAUCAUCUCCCGAUCUCAAAUUAAAACCUAUGAUUAUGCUAAAUUGGUGGCCAAUCAAUAAAGCAAACAAUUAUAACAAGAACAUAAAAAGGAAUAACAAUCUCAAUUAAUUGAAUCAAACAGUCAGAAAUUCAAAUCAUGUCUACUCCCUAAACCCUGGGAAAAAAAGGAUUCUAGCCACACAUAGACAUAUGAACUAGAAUACAAUUCUCAAUAAAAUAAAUAAACAUCCACAAGAAAAACCGUAGUAGAAUUGAGAAUCUUCAGUUCUUGCUCUCGCUCCGUUCUCCGUCUCUCUCGGCUCUCAGGAAAAGUAAAAUAUGAUAAAAGAAGAUAAAAGGUUCGCAGAGAAUAAGUUCUUGGGGAGUAUUUAUAUGCCCUAGGUCUUGUAGCUCUCAAAAAUACCCAAAAUCGCUAAAACAAAAUGAAUUUUGGGCGGAAAUACGGCGACUCGCGCGGCCACGUUGGGCGGCCGCAUGGCUGGCCCGCGUGACGAAAUAGAACUCCUGACAGCUUUGCGCAGAGAUUUUGUUUUGGCUCGUUCCCCCUCGUCCAAACUCCGAUUUAUGAUCCGUUUGCGCUCACAAACUCCUAUCGAGACGAACUACAACUUGUAUUUCAGCCGAUUCUUCCAAAUUCUGCUUCAUUAUUUCUGAAACUUCGUUCAAACACAAGCAAGUAACAAGUUCUUGACCAUAAACGAAUAUAAGCUCAAAUAGACCAUCAAACACACAAAAUCCUCACAACUAAGCAUCAAAAAUGACACACCAAGAGGUAAAAAUGCAUGUUUAUCAGAGCCGCGAUUUCCGCUGGGGUGGAGAUAACUUGUAGAGCGCAUCACAGUUGGACUUGCCUUCUUUUGCACGAUUCUAUUCCUUUUAGAGUCCGGUUUUGCAUGGCAACUUUCAUGGUGAUCCAUAGGGAUUCGAAGUCUAUAAAUAGGGCCAUACUUUUCAUUGUAACAAUAAUCCUUGCCCUAAUCUUUAGUUCCGCCAAGUUAGCUAAAGCUUAGGAUUUUAUUGUUUUCAUAGUUCUAGUUUCGAUUUCUGUUCUUAGUUAGUUUAGUAUAAUUCUUUUAAUUCAUGUUUAGAGUAGUUCCCGUUUAGAGUUGUAAUUAUGUGACAGAUUACUUCUCGAGACGAUUUACGGUAUUUCUUUAAUCAAGUUUAUUUAUUUGCUUUUACUUAUGCUUUCUUUAAAUUCUGCAAAUUUACUUAUGCGUUUUUAUGAUGUUUUCUUUAAAUUAUGCAAUUUAGUUUCUGCCUAGUUAGAUUAGAUUAGAAGUUUUAAUUAAAUUUAUUUAAAUUCAAUUUAUCUAGUUAAUUCUUUACUUUAAGUUCUUUAAAUUCUUGCCUAGAGGUUUAAUAGUUUUACGCCUAGAUAAUUUUAAGAUUAAGUUUUAGUUAAGUUUAAAUUACAAGAAUUAGUUAAUAAUUCCUUUUUGCCUAAAGUUUAAUUCACGUUAAUCUACUUUCCAUGUUUUAGUUUAAUAAUCCUUAGUUUACGGUUUUCUUGUGACAUAAUUAAAAGCCCUUAAAGAUCUUCCUUGAGAGACGACAUUGGGUUAACUUACCACAACUAGAGUGUCCUUGUUCUAUUGCAAGUCAAUCUAGAGGUGUUCUAGGUUGAGUCAGGUACUUGUGCUACUGGGGUUGUCUCUGCGGUGGCAGAGAGGGUGGUGGCAGGGCCGGAGAUGGCGGUGGAAGAGUGGUGGUUCUUGGAGGAAAGGUGGGUGGGAGAGAGAGGGAAGGGGUACUUGUGUUGCUGGGAUUGUCUCAGCGGUGGCAGAGAGGAUGGCGGCGGUGUCGGAGAUGGCGGUGGAAGAAUGGUUGCAGCUGGGCGGCAGAUUAGAAUGGAUGGCGGUGGAAUUAAUUGUCUUCUGUCCACUUUUGUAAA